rnacentral:lncRNA from 1 species
AGCAAUUGUCAGAUAGGAAAGAAGACAGUAGUAUUGCUACAGCUAACCCUGGAGAAGGUGAUGUUAAUCAGGAGGGCCUGGACGAAGAAAUGGAAGACGAGGAUAGCAGGCCUGAAGAUGACACUGAAGCUAUGUUAAAGCUAUUAGGCAUUGAUGUCAACACUGCGGCCAGUGAUGAGGUUAAAGAUACUUCAACAUGGGUCAAAUGGUUUGAAGAAGAGAGAUGACACUGAAGCUAUGUUAAAGCUAUUAGGCAUUGAUGUCAACGCUGCGGCCAGUGAUGAGGUUAAAGAUACUUCAACAUGGGUCAAAUGGUUUGAAGAAGAGGUCUCUCGAGAUCAAAAUCAAUGGAUGCCUACUAGGAAAGCCGG